AACUUUGAGCAGUGGUUGUAUCAGCCAAUAAGGUUUAUCUUUAGUGCAAUUAUUGCUAGUUAAAAACUACCCCAAUACCUUAGCAUGGCUUGAAAUACGGAAAUUUUUGAUAGUCUCUACAGAGA
ensembl:snRNA U4 U4 spliceosomal RNA